rnacentral:misc_RNA from 1 species
GACGAGGGAUCCUAGCGUUGUUCGGAAUCAUUGGGCGUAAAGCGGGUGUAGGUGGCUUUGUAAGUCAGAUGUGAAAGCCCAGGGCUCAACCCUGGAAGUGCAUUUGAUACUGCGAAGCUUGAGUGCUGGAGAGGUAAGUAGAAUUCCUGGUGUAGUGGUGAAAUACGUAGAUAUCAGGAGGAAUACCGGAGGCGAAGGCGGCUUACCAGCCAGACACUGACACUCAGACCCGAAAGUGUGGGGAUCAAACAGG